UACGGAGGGUGCAAGCGUUAUCCGGAUUCACUGGGUUUAAAGGGUGCGUAGGUGGGUAUGUAAGUCAGUGGUGAAAUCCCCGAGCUUAACUUGGGAACUGCCGUUGAUACUAUAUAUCUUGAAUAUCGCGUAGGUAAGCGGAAUAUGUCAUGUAGCGGUGAAAUGCUUAGAUAUGACAUAGAACACCAAUUGCGAAGGCAGCUUACUUCUACGAUCAUUGACACUGAGGCACGAAAGCGUGGGGAGCAAACAGG
rnacentral:rRNA from 1 species